AGAGACAGCAGCCGCCACGGUAAUACGGAGGGUGCAAGCGUUAUCCGGAUUUAUUGGGUUUAAAGGGUCCGUAGGCGGACUUAUAAGUCAGUGGUGAAAGCCUGUCGCUUAACGAUAGAACUGCCAUUGAUACUGUAAGUCUUGAGUAUAUUUGAGGUAGCUGGAAUAAGUAGUGUAGCGGUGAAAUGCAUAGAUAUUACUUAGAACACCAAUUGCGAAGGCAGGUUACCAAGAUAUAACUGACGCUGAGGGACGAAAGCGUGGGUAGCGAACAGGAUUAGAUACCCCGGUAGUCCCUGUCUCUUAUAC
rnacentral:rRNA from 1 species